GUAUAGAAGAUAAUGAGAUGCAUUGAAAUAUGAAAAGUUCUGGUGUGCAAAGGAUUCAAAUGAACACUUCCAAUGGAACUACUGUCAAGAAGAGGUCAAUAACAAAAAAAAGAGGAUGUGUUGCUGAACAUUAUAGCAAGAGGUUAACGGAGUAUGAUAUGAAGGCUGAUCGAUUUUAUAUUCGCUGUGAGUUUGCUAGAUUAUUGCUUAAGAGUGGUGGAUCGGAACAAUAAAAAUUUACUGUUAAGGGCUCAAAGAUUACUAAACCCUUUACAAUGCAUGUCUUGAAAAGUAAGGGCAAGAAUCGAGAGUACAAAAUUGGACCCAAAUGAAAAGAUUUUGUCAAGAUGCAUAAACUUAGGCCUGGAUAUUUAUGUGUAUUUAGAAGUGUUUCGAACAAAAAUCAUUUGGUUCAGGUUUCUGUGGUUAGAAACUAAUUAUUCAGAUGCUUUGAUACUUUCUUUUGUUAAUUUUGGGAUAUGUAUUCUAUUUUGGACUCUGGGUUUUUCAUUAUCUAAAAUUCAAAAUAUGUAUGGGAUGUGAACUUGUUGGUUAAGUUACUUAGUUUUUUAUAUCAGAUGUGACAGUCAAAUUAAUAUGCUAUUUGGUUAUAUCA